UACGGAGGGGACUAGCGUUGUUCGGAAUUACUGGGCGUAAAGCGCGCGUAGGCGGAUUUGCAAGUCGGGGGUGAAAGCCCGAGGCUCAACCUCGGAACUGCCCUCGAUACUGCAAAUCUCGAGUCCGAGAGAGGUGAGUGGAAUUCCUAGUGUAGAGGUGAAAUUCGUAGAUAUUAGGAAGAACACCAGUGGCGAAGGCGGCGCACUGGCUCGGUACUGACGCUGAGGCGCGAAAGCGUGGGGAGCAAACAGG
rnacentral:rRNA from 1 species